GCGCGAAAACUUUACAAUGCGAGAAAUCGUGAUAAGGGAACCCCGAGUGCCCGUAAAUUCGGGCUGUUAAUCUGUGUACAAAGCAGGUGGAGAAAGGGCCGGGCAAGACCGGUGCCAGCCGCCGCGGUAAUACCGGCGGCUCGAGUGGUGGCCACUAUUACUGGGCUUAAAGCGUCCGUAGCUGGAUUGUUAAGUCUCUUGGGAAAUCUACCGGCUUAACCGAUAGGCGUUCAAGGGAUACUGGCAAUCUAGGGACCGGAAGAGGUGAGAGGUACUCCAGGGGUAGGAGUGAAAUCCUGUAAUCCUUGGGGGACCACCUGUGGCGAAGGCGUCUCACCAGAACGGCUCCGACAGUGAGGGACGAAAGCUGGGGGAGCAAACC
rnacentral:rRNA from 1 species